AUGACGAUAAACAAGAGUCAAAGUCAGUCCUUAAACAAGGUAGGAAUAUAUUUGUCUAAGCAAGUGUUCCGUCAUGGACAACUAUAUGUGGCACUAUCAAGAGUGACAAGCAAGGAAGGAUUGAAGGUGCUGAUCAAUGACAACUAUAAUUCUGCAUAG
rnacentral:rRNA from 1 species